rnacentral:rRNA from 1 species
AUUGAACGCUGGCGGCAGGCCUAACACAUGCAAGUCGAACGAGUGGCGGACGGGUGAGUAAUGUCUGGGAAACUGCCUGAUGGGGGGGGAUAAAUACUGGAAACGGUAGCUAAUACCGCAUACCAUCAGAUGUGCCCAGAUUGGAUUGGCGUGUUGGUGGGGUAACGGCUCACCAGGGCGACGAUCCCUAGCUGGUCUGAGAGGAUGACCAGCAAAACUGGAACGGAGACACGGUCCAGACUCCUACGGGAGGCAGAAGUGGGGAAUAUUGCACAAUGGGCGCAAGCCUGCGGCAGCCAUGCCGCGUGUAGGAAGAAGGCCUUCGGGUUGUAAAGUACUUUCAGCGGGGAGGCGUUACCCGCAGAAGAAGCACCGGCUAACUCCGUGCCAGCAGCCGCGGUAAUUC